GACGAACGCUGGCGGCGUGCUUAACACAUGCAAGUCGAACGAAGAGCGAUGGAAGCUUGCUUCUAUCAAUCUUAGUGGCGAACGGGUGAGUAACGCGUAAUCAACCUGCCCUUCAGAGGGGGACAACAGUUGGAAACGACUGCUAAUACCGCAUACGAUCUAAUCUCGGCAUCGAGGAUAGAUGAAAGGUGGCCUCUACAUGUAAGCUAUCACUGAAGGAGGGGAUUGCGUCUGAUUAGCUAGUUGGAGGGGUAACGGCCCACCAAGGCGAUGAUCAGUAGCCGGUCUGAGAGGAUGAACGGCCACAUUGGGACUGAGACACGGCCCAGACUCCUACGGGAGGCAGCAGUGGGGAAUCUUCCGCAAUGGACGAAAGUCUGACGGAGCAACGCCGCGUGAGUGGUGACGGCCUUCGGGUUGUAAAGCUCUGUUAAUCGGGACGAAAGGCCUUCUUGCGAAUAGGGAGAAGGAUUGACGGUACCGGAAUAGAAAGCCACGGCUAACUACGUG
rnacentral:rRNA from 1 species